GUAAACGAAAAAGACAUAAUUGGAAGGACAGCUCUGCAUAUAGCUGCUUUUGCUGGCAAAGUGAAGGAAGCUCAAAAACUCAUCGCUGAAGGAGCCGACCCCAAUAUUGGAAAUAAUUUUAAUGAGACAGCUCUGCAUUAUGCUGCUAUGAAAGGUCACAAGAGUAUCGCCGAACUUCUCAUCAGUAAAGGAGCCAAUCUUGAUGCUGAAACUGAUACGAAAGAGACACCUCUUCAUUUAGCUGCU